CCGUAAGCCUGGCGCUCCAGUUUUCAUUCAGCCCGUCUUGUGUGGUGGGUAGGGAACCUAUGUUUGUGGCCAGUAACAGCUUCAGGCUGGCACAUAAGACAUCAGGUUCCCGGACCUUGAGGAGUGGGUCUUGAGAUUGUUGCUUUUGCUGCCCCGUAUCCAAACCCCCUUCCUAUUGGGGGACAACCCCAAAUUAGGUGCAGCAGAGGGGUCAACCACAUGCUGCGAAGACUUCUGGGCAGCCAGGACACGAGCAUGUGCCAGGACUUACCUGAGCAGAGCCACAGACACAAAGACACAGGGAGAGGUAGGCUUUCUCAGGUGGCCUCCGCAGUCGAGGUAGGCCUGAACCAACACGUCGUCUGGCAGCCCAUGGCCGCAUUCUGGCCACAGGGGGCUGGGACCGCGGUCUGGUUGUGCUCUUGCUAGGUAGCCUCCUUGUGUUCCUGCUGCCUCUCAGAGCCUGCUUCUCAUUAAGGCUCUCCUCGGGUCUCCACCACUCCCUGCUGUUUGCCAUUAACAAGUCUGACUCCCUGAUCUCCAUCAAGGGCAGGUGUGUACUGAGCUCUGGAAAGCCAGAGAUAGGAGCCUAAGUAAGUACAGAGCUGGCUGGGAGGGCGCCGUUGGGUAAGGCAGCACGGGAGGACACCUGGAGUGGCCUUGUCAGGUCUCCCGAUGGCUUAGAAGGGUCUCCAUGGGGAGCCAUGCUACCUGAUAGACAGUCCACACUCCAUAAGUCUGCCUCUUUUCUCUGAUCCCUUCUCCCCUCUGUCUACAAACCCUUCCUGAUGCCCGGGUCAUGCAAUUAAAUACUAUUUUUAAAACCAAGUUUUAUCUACGCUCCCUGUGGGUUAUCUCAGCUCCUACAGAGGCUCAGGAAACUGUGACGGCACGAUCGUCACACUGACUUGACAGGAGGCAGCCUGGGAAGUCAUGAUGGAAGAGGCUGCUCUCUUCCUGGCCUGGCCCCUCUUGGGGGUUCAGUGCUCGUCUCUGAAGUCACUGAGGUUUUUGUUGCAGUUUCCCUACGGUAUAGAGCGUGCCCUACAUCGCAGGGCUGGGCUAAGACGGAUUUCUGGCUUUCUUUUCUCAAAAAAUCAUGCUCAUUCAGGCACUGGCGAAUAUAGGUUCUGGUACUGAAGAUGAGCUGUCUGUUAAACUCUGAAUAGGGCUAUUCUCUCUGCAAUUAGAGACUUUUGGCUCAAACAAGAUCUUUUCUGGGAAGCCAUAAGCCUGUAUUCUGAUAUUUCAACAUUUCACCCCUCAUCCUCCCCACCAGCCCUCACUAGGGUUCAUAUCGUCCUAGAAAUGGAACACCACCACAAAGCAGUCACCCACAUGGAUUCUCCCACUUUGCAGGCUUAAGAUAAUGAAGUCAAACACACAUACACAGGCUCCAAAUACCUUUGGUAGAGCUUUACACCCAUAUGUGUGAAGGGCCAUUUCCAAACGGAAUAAUAACUGGAAGGCACGACUAAACCACUGGAAUAAAAUCCCCCUUUGGAUUAGGUAUCAGCAAAGUAAAUUAGUAACAUCUGAGCGCCUGUUAAGACUAGAGAUUCGCCGUUUGCUGGGACUGGCGUUUAUUUCAUUAUUGAAAAGGAAGGGAAAAAACAGAAGGAAUCAAGUCAGCUGUACUGAGUGUCGAUGACACACGUGCCUCCCAUUUUUGAAGCUCUUCUCCCUGGCGCCUCAGUGUACUGUCUGAGCUGCCCCUGGGCUACAACCGUGAUUAAGAGGAGAGGUCUCUCUUUUGAAGGGGUUGGUGGUCUCUUGAGCUGAGGAAGUGGAACACGGGCUCCCUAGCCUCCUUCGUGACUUUGAUCACCAAGUCCCCCGUUACGUUGGAAGAUUAAAGGCAUGUGGACGCCUGGGGGAGGGCAGCCUGGAGGUGACAUUCAAAAGCUCGAUUAGUCUUCUGCGGAUCAGUUGUCUACAGGCUUCCAGAACAGCCCUCCAGACCACAUUUUAGGACACGGCUGCCAGCAGCUGCUGUCUUGACCUGACCAGGAAGUUGCUGCUCCCCUCUGACUCCAGGACCACCCACCCCUGCCAUGGUCUGCACCAGCAAAAUGGACACCUUGCAUCCUACCCCUCUUCCCACGCAACUCAGAGCCUCGGUCUCCUCAUUUAUAAACUGAGUGGCAUCCACCUCCAGGUCAUAUGUAAUACAUUUCACAGCUGGUGUGUCAUAGGCACAGGACAGUGAGGAUGGCCGUAGAUUGUAAAUCGCUCAUUAGGACUUACUGGUGCCAACCAGCUGAAUACCAACCCUCCUGGCAGUAUCACCAGAAAUGCCAAGUGGCAAGGGUUAUCUGGAUGGUCCCGGGUGCAUAGAGCAUGAGUGGUUUGACUGAGAUUACACAGGCCAGUGGUUAGAAUGUGGUGAGAAUUCCAUGAACACCCCCAAGACCUUUAGAGAGAGAAUGCUCUUGCAGAUUUGGAGGAGAAACCCAGGAUGCAUCUGGACCAUCCACCUGAGUGCAAUGCUCCCACACAAGGAGGACGGCUGGGCAAGGAGCUGAGCGCUCAGUCAAGGAUGAUGCUGCUCCAUUGCUCCCCUCUUGUUCUGGUGAAACAGGUGGAUGGAUUUGAGCCUGAGAGAUAACAAGCAAGGAGAAUAACUGGGAGCAUUAGGCUUUGGGGUGCCCUCUGCUUGAGCAUGACGGGCACUCAUCCUGUCUGAGGUGAAGGUGUGGACAGGAUGAAACAUGCCAGAGACUGGAGUCCGGAACCUUGAAAGUUUAAUGAGGAUGGUUAGCGGAGCGACGCUAUGAUUAAUCACGUCAAAAGCAUCACGUAAAUCAAGCUGGAUGGUGGUGGACAACGACUAUUUAAUUUUGAUACUGAAAGGUCAUUUGGAACGCUUACUAGUGCGCUGUCAGGAGGGGCUGGCUUCUAAAUCCAGGUGGAUAAAGGUCCAUUAGGUCCCUGAGUGGAGGACUUAAGAUCCGAGCCAACUAGACAGGCCUGAUGCACCUGAACACAGGAGAAAAGGCAAAAGGAGACAUUUCAAAGUGAAACCGAGUCACUGAGGGUUUUACACUUUUUUAAUUUUUAAUUUUUUAAAUCUCUCCUCACUUGAGGUCCUAGAAAAAUGAUAUUAAGAAGGGCAGUAACUGAAUACAAGGCCGUCAGAGGAACUAUUGCUGUUGUGUUUUGUGAGCAAAGGAACAUGUUAUGUAAGCAGAUUAUGAGGGCUAUGCACAGAGAGGAGAGUUCAAUAUUAUUAGAAAGUCAAGCUCACAACUGAAUGUCUCUGAUGCGCAUUUAAGGAGGAGCAUAACCAAGGGAUAUUAGAGCGAUGGAGGACCUGGACGAUUGUCUGGUCCAUCCUCCUCACUGGCACAGAUGAGGACAAUUACGCAGAGAUGAUGCCCAGGGGCCGAGUUUGCACAGCAACAAAUGGCGGGACAGGGAUGAGCGUGGGGCUGCUGGCUCUCUCCAGGCGCAUCCACUCCAUCCAACCUUAGGUGGGGCGGGAGCCCCAGCUGUGAACAUACAUUUCACUUGACUGCAUGGCCACCAGACAAAGACUUUGCAAGGCAUCUGGCAGAGGGAAUCGGACUGAGCCAGAGCUGCUCAGGAGAUCCUGAAAGGCGGCGAUGUGGAAGCCAAAGGGCAGAGGCUCCCUCCUCUCUGGGAAGCAGCGUCUAGAGCCCAGGCCCCCUGGCUGCCCGCCCUUGGCUCUCACCUGCCUGGGGGCGCUCAGCUUGGAGCCAGCCUGGCUGGGGGGGUGGGCAGAAGGGUGGGUGCUCACGAGGUGCGGGAGGGAAGGGACACCCUGCUUCAGAUGCCCCAGUCAGCGCCGUCCUCCUGGUGACUCCUUAAUUUCACCAUUUAAACACAGCUCCUUUUUCUCUCCUUUCUUACCUUUUUUUGAAUGGGUUGUCUUUCUUUGCUUGCUUGCUUGCUUUUCUUAUUCCAUUUCCCCCUCUUUCCUGGCUGGGAAGUUGUACCCUCAAUUUCUACCUUUUUUUUAGUAUUUGUCCUUGAAACUUUAACAUGUAUGCUUAACUUACCAAAGUACAAAUUUAAUCGUAUCUUAAUUCCUUUCCUGUCAAUGUGAGGACAUUGGACCUCCUUAACUCAGAUCCCCCUACCCUUACUUCUAAGCUAUUGUUGAAUGUCUUAAUGCCAUUUUUUACCCUAAAAAUUAGAAAUUGUUAUGAUUUUACACAAUUAGUGUUCAUACGUACUUCCCUGUUUACCAAUUUCUUUACUCACAGGCCUUUCCAGACUCAUCUUUUCUUCUUAGGUUGUCCUUCCUCGAGUGCAGGUCCUUUUGGUGGUCAUCUCCGUCUGUCUGGUCAUUUCUCCUGUUUUCUUGACAGUUUACUGGUGAGGUCCUUCUAGGCUGGUGGUUAUUUUGUCUCAGCAGAGAUUUUCCAGCCCUCUCCUGGCUUCCUAUGUAGUUCUAGGCAAGUUGGCUAUUGGUCUAAUCGUCAUGACUUGUAACCAAGAUGUCCUUCUUCUCUGGCUGCUUUUGGGAUCAUCUCUGUCUUUCUUGUUUUGUGGUUUUACUACAGUAUGUCUAGAUGGAGAUUUCUCUUCAUUUAUCUAUGCGCUUCUUAUCUGUGUAUUGUCUCAUGAAUUUUACAGCAUCUCAGCGGCUAUGUCCUUACAUUUUCUCUAUUAUUUCCUUUCGAAUUGGACACAUGUUAGACCGUCUCAUUCUAUCUUCCCUCUCUCUUUGCUUUCAUUUUUUUCUGUUUCAUGCCUCUAUGUGCUUAAUGGCGGGUAAUUUCCUUGGCUCUGUCUUCUCCCCGAUUGUGGCUUCUUUUCUCAAUGUAUCUAAUCUUCUGUUUGGCCAGCUUAUUGUUUUUAAUUUUAAUAAUAUUUAAUAAUAUUUUAAUUUUAAUAAUAAUAAUAUUUAAUAAUAUUGUUUUUAAUUUUAAUAAUAUUUCCAUUCUAAGAUUCUCAUAUGAGUCAUUUUUCAAAUCUUCCUGGUGCUGUGUUUCUUUCUCCUUUUCUAAUUCCAUCUUUUCCUUUAAACAUUUUUUACGGGGUCAUUUUGUCCCCAGUGGUUCCGGUAGCUGGAGCCCUUCGGGAUGUAUUCUGUGGUGUGUUGUUUCUCCUGAUUCCACCCAUGUUCAUUUAUUUCCCUCUUUAUUUGUUCAUUUUUAAUGGAGGGAUAAUAUUUGAUUGAACUUAAUUUGUUCCUCCAGAGAAUUGUGCUUUCUUGGGCAUUGUGUCAUGCUGCUGCCAACCUGGCACUACUUCGUUUUACUUUUUUUUUUACUUUCACAGAUCUGAAGGGGGAGCGGGAGGGAAUAAGGACGGAGAGGAGACCAGUCUCUCCGGAACACCGGGUGCACUAGGGCGGGUCCCUCUGCCCUGUAAGAGUUGGGUGGUGGGCAUUUACCCGUGUGAGCACCGUGCCCUCACAGGCUGUUGGCACUUGGGGAGCAAGGGCAGAGGGGAAAAUGAGGAAGGGAGUCUGGAGACCUUACAUGCUGAGUUGGGUUUGUUUUUCAGAAGGAGGGAGGAUGCUGUGAGCUGCAAAUUAGUUCGGGGAGCAGGUCACCCUGAGCAGCCGUGGAGGGCUGUGAAAGAGGCACAGGUGGCAGGGCACCAGUGCGGGACUCGAGGGCUUUGGCAGUGAGUGUGCCGGCUGCUAGGAGCCACAGGCUGUUCUAGAGGAGAGGAGGGUUGCAGCCCAAGUGGCACUGGAUUGGGGAAGGGGGUCCUACACACAUUGGUCAGAAGACAAUCACCGUGGAAAGGAGAAAGAGGAGCCAAUGAUAGUACUAAGCUCUGCCCAGAGCGAGUGCUGGUUUCGUCUUCCCUUCUCCCUCCUCCAGGAUGCCUCCUCCAGGAAGCCUGCCGGGAUAGCAGUCUUCUCCACCGGCAGCUCAGAGCCUGGUUGGGCCUGGUCUCCAGGUGGCCUUGGCGUGUGUGUCCCUGGCUCUGGGUCUUACUCAGGACGAGGGGCGAGGGCCGGGGGUCCCUGCGGCCUUGGAGACCCGGGCCGCUGCCCCCAGCGAAUGUUUGAAUUUUUAUGCUAAAGCUGGGUUGCACGAGGGCUGUAAAUGUGACCUCCACAGCAGGGUCAGAUAAGGCCUGUGGAUGCAUGUUUCCAGAAGAACAUACUGUUAUCCACCUUUUCCACCUGGGGUCACGAUGGAGAUAAUCCAAAUUGUGGGGAGCCUUCCUCUGCUGGGGGGUGAAUCAUUUUUCUGUCCUCACCGCUGGAGGCUGAGGUUCGCUCCCUUUCUUUGCACGGUCCAGCUCUGUCUCGGUCCCCGUGCUGGUGGAAGCAGUGACCAUGACCUGCAGGGCCAACCAUUGUUUGUUUUUUGGGUUAUUUUUGGUUUUGUUUUCCAUUUAUUGUUUAUUGACCUGGUUUUAGCUCACUGCUCCUUUUUUUUUUUUUUUUUUUUUGGUGAGGAAGAUUGGCCCUACGUGAACAUCUGUGCCAGUCUUCCUCUCUUUUGUAGGCGGGACACCGCCACAGCGUGGCUUGAUGAGAAGUGCAUAGGUUCACACCAGGGAUGCGAACCCUGGGCCACCAAAUGGGAGCACUUGAACUUAACCACUAUGCCACGGACUGGCACCUCACUGCUCCUAUUGUUUUGCCCCUUGAACCUGAGUGGUUCCCCAUAUGUUCAUUUGAGCUCAGCAAUAAUUUAACUUUCUUCCCAGUUUUAUCGAGAUGUGAGAUAUAAUCGACAUAUAAGAUUGUAUUAGUUUUAGGUGUACAACGUAAUGUUUGACAUAUGUAUGUGGUGCAAAAGGACCACCACAGUAAGUUUAGUUAACAUUGAUCACCUCACCUAGGUACAAAGAUACUUUUCCUUGUCAUGAGAACUUUUAAGCUCAACUUUCUUGGGAAAAAAAAAAGCAUAUAUAUUACACAAAUUUAUUAUAAAUUUUGCUGCUGUAAAUGACGUAUAACCUGUAGUCAUCACACUGUACGUCACAUCCCCAGGACUUACUUGUCUUAUAACUGGAAAUUUGUACCUUUUGACCAACAAUUCCCCUGCCUCUUGCAACCACAAAUAUAAUCUCUGUUUCUAUUACUUUGGGUUUUUUUGGAUUCCACAUAUAAGUGAGAUCAUACAGUAUUUGUCUUUCUCUGUCUGACUUAUUUCACUUAGCAUAAUGCCCUGGAGGUCCAUCCAUGUCGUUGCAAAUGGCAGGAUCGCCUUCUUUUUUAUGCCUGAAUAGUAUUCCACGGUGUACAUAUUCCAUGUCUUAUUUAUCCAGUCAACCACCAGUGGACACUUAGGUUAUUUCUGUGUCUUGGCUGUUGUAAAUAAUUCAGCAGUACUUUAAAUAGUGUUUGUCACAAUUAAUCCAGGAUCUGGUCUUCUCAGGAAGGAGCAAUCCAUCAUCCUAUCAGAAGAGGAAUUCCCACAAGUAUGCUGUUUUAUUAAUCCUUCAUACCCCACUUAAACCCCAAAUUAGUUUGGGUGGCUUACAGACAGUGGCGAGCCAGAGUCAUCCUGUACUGGCUUAUGAGAAAUUUAUAGGAAUCUUGCAAGUCAUUUGUUAAACACAGCCAUUAUUAAAAGUUAAAUUACAUAAACUUACAAUUAAAUAAAUUACAUUAAAAAUAAAGGUAAUAAAUACUCAAACUCAUCACUUCCUAGUCCCGUUUCACUGUUACGUAUACUGUUGAGGUUCUUUGUGUCCAUUGUAUCUGUGUUGUGAAAAUGCUACAGACUGGAGUCCUCUUGUGCAUCUCUUCCCGAUCCGUGUUCAGUGACCUCACGUGGGUAUCCUUAAAUCGGCCACGGCGGGAGUAUUUACACCAUGGAAAUGGGCAAACACUACAGGUCAAGGCUUCAUUGAUCACUUUAUUGAUGUCUAGACUUCACAAAGUGAUGGAUAGAAUGGUAACAGUGCAGAAUAGACUUUAAAGUGUGCCGUGUCUCUAGUAGUUACAUUCUGAGUAGCACAAAAAAUUGGGGAAGUAGUCCGCCGGUAUUUGAAAACAACCAAUUUAGCAAAAAAGUGGCUCACAUCAUUGAGGAAUGAGUGAAGUUCUGACAUAAGACAUAGGUGUUUCUUGUUUCACUUCCUCUUCCUUGUUAAAGUAAAUAAAAGUAUCAACCGACAUUCGUGUCUCAACUAUUUUUGAUUGUUGGUUGUAACCAUCCGUUAGCUGUGGAUACAGAGUUUGACAAAAAUCAUCAAAAACGUUCUGAGGGACUCAGUUGGCUGCAUGGAAUUUACAAUAAAGAGUAUUGUGUAUUUUACUAUUAUUUGCUUAUUGUGGGUUAUACAUUUAUAGCAGCAACAUUUAUAAUUAAUUUGCAUAUAUAUAUAUACUUUUUUUCCCCAGAGAAUUAGUGUGAAAUAUUCACCAGCACACCUCUGCUUACAGGGACAUACCAAUAAAAUGAGGUAACACAGAUUUGAAGUAGAUGAGAAAGAAAAAGUGACAGCAAGAAGAGGGACGUGUUUGAGUCAGAAAUGAAGUUAAAACACAGUUUCGUGGUGCAGAGUGUACAUAGAUGCACGGUUGGCCACAGACUCGUCUCUCAGCUUCCUAGCGCAUCUUGUACAUAGAAAACUUUGAUUGCAUACAGAAUUUUAAAUGUUUUGGUGAGGGAUUGUGGAGGUUUUCCUAAGCCAUGUCCAGAAGGAUUUUUAUCCCACGGGUUCAGAUAGAGAAACAACAUGUUUUUAUGAACAAUGUCCUCAGAGGAAACCCUCCCUUCCAGUCACAGGGGUGCUUCCCGGGGAGCCCCGCUCUGAAGGCUGAACGCUUCUUGCCGAAGAGUCUUUCUGCAAGAGGUGCGUGUUGAAGUAGUUAUGGGUGAAAUACUGUGAACUCUUGGAUCUGUUUUGGAAUUCUCCAUGAAACAAACUGUCGACACGAAUAAUCAAUAAUCAAUCUAUAAAUCAAAAUUGAGAUGAGUUCCUUAUACAAGUCAGUCUGUGGAUUAGAGAGCCCGGGAGAGCACCUCCCCCAAGAAGGAGGACUCGGAAGAAGCCACGUGGAUGCGUGGUUAUGUACUGUCUUGGAACAAGGAACAUGUAUCAUACAACAGGGAUAGCUCGUUUACCACAGUCGGGAGACGUUUGCUGGCACAGCAGGUCAGUUUGACCCUUAGUGUGGAAAGAAAUGCUUAAUGCAAAAUAUUGAUAAAGGUUGAAGCUGCAUGACUGACAGUCCGGGAUUCUUUAUGCUCUUGCCGCUCCUUUGAGACGAAGUUGACUCUGAUUAGUACGUCUCUGGUCUCUUUUCUUUAUAACAGCUCCUCCCCUCGUCCCCAUGCUACUCAUGCGGUGGAAAAAGCCGGUCAUUUGCCCUGUAGAAUUUCCCACACUGUGGAGCUGGCCUUUGUUUCCUCAUGGUGACAAAAAGUGUUACCUUUGCAGAGAAAUCCACUAAACUUAACAAUUAUCCUCCAGGAGUGAGACACCAGGCAGGAAGGUUUAAAUGGAAACAACAGGGGAGAGAGAUGGGGGCUUCCGACCAUAAGAAAGAAAUCAGAGCAAACGGGCACGGCCCACAGGGAAGGUGAGGGAAACGGGCCAAGGGAGAGGAGAGCCAGAAAGAACCCUCCAGAUGACUCGCUUACUCCUGCUUUCUCCCUGAACUCUCUGUGGUCCAGCACCUACCUGCCUUCCAUCCCCAGCCCAGCUUCUCACCCCCCAGGCUGUGUGGUGGGGACAGGGCAGCACGGGAGUAAGGUGUGUGUCGGGGGCAUUUUCCCCAUAUGGAGGUACUGCUGAGCUGAAACUUAGGAAGAGAUUUUUUUAUUAUUAUCAUUCCUCUUGAACCACAUGCUUAAAAAAAAAAGAAAGACAAAUACGUUUAAAAUCAAAUCAGUUUUGAAGGGGCAGCAUCUUUAUCAUCUACCGUCCUCGGGAUUCAUUUCACGUUCAAAGAAAUAGAAAACGACUUGCAAAAAGGCAAAUUAGACCCAGAUUUGCCCGCAGGUGGCAUCUCAGGCCGUAAUUUAAUGGCACUUCAUCAACAUUGCCUUUUCUGGGCCCAAUGAGUAGCUUGCGCUGUAGGAAAAGUGCUUUGCCAUAAUUUUUCAUUAGCUUCACGAGUCAUGCCAUUUGGAACCAUGUGAGGUGGCUCAUGUUUUAGUGAUUUUUAAAAACACUUGACAAUCAGAAAUUCAAGCACCAAAUGCCUGUGAGUCAGGGACCAUUUAGACAUCUGAGACAGGACCAGGAUUAAAGGUCACUUGUACCCGUUAUGGGGAUGCUGUAGAGUCUUUGAACUCGGUGAACACUCAGACCAGCUAACGAAGAUGAGAAUGAAGAUGAAGAAGAAGAUGAGAAUGGCCCGGCAUAUCCUGGCUCAGUGGCAGGAGGAGGACGGCAGUUCUUGGUCCAGGCACAGUCCCUCUCAGGCGCCUCAGUUUCACGAGAAGAUGCAGCUCUGCCCCCAGCCCUCUUAUCUGCUAAGGCGGAUGGUUCCCUUCUCCAGGCAGCACCGAAGAUGCCCUCACCAUACACACCCGGAACAACAGUGUCGAACCCAUGGCAAUCCAAACCCGGGAGAUGCUUGACAACAGCGAGGAUGGGUGCCUGCCUGCACGAUUUCUCCAGGACCUAGCAGGGGGUCUUAUCCAGUUUUUAAACAGUGAAAUAUAGCAGAAUGAAAUGGGACGGGAAACCUUGAGAGCAUGUCAUAAGGAUAAGUACUGUUUUGUGAAACCUUUGUUUCCAUUAUGUAUGUGUGUAUGCGUGUACUGAGGCAGAAUGGGAAAUGUGUUUUUAAAUGUGAGUCAAGUCAAAAGGCUUUGAAGAAUGCUGCUCUGAGAAUUUAUGAUUUGCCCCCAAAACAAGCCACACUAGUGAGAAGCUGUUACGUGGACACAUCACAUUGGCUCCUGAACCGUGUGUUGUCAUUUCCAUAACAAUGAGUUAAAAAUGAUAGAAACCUUUCCUCUCUGUCUCACCUUUCUGAGAUACGAGUGAGCUUAAGGAAUUCCUCUGCCUGGGUAACAAGAGUUAGCAUUCAUUUGUUUAUUCAUUCACUCAACAAACACAUUGAGACUGAGGCACUGAGAAUAUAACGGUGGGGAAAAAAUAGACAGAAAUUGCCAUCUUGGUGGAACGUAUACAUUCAGGAGUAGGGCAGGGUCCACAGACUGCAAACGAUGUAAAUAAGUAAAAUAGAAAAUACGUUAAGUGGUUAUAAGUGCUAAGGCAAAAGAAAAAAAAAGGAAACAGAAAAGGGCAACUGAGAAUCUUUGGAGGAUGUGUUAGUUUUCCAUUUUUCUGCAUAACAAACUACAACCAAGUUAGCGGGUUAAAACAACACACACAUUUAUUAUCUCACAGUUCCCGUGGGGCCAGGAGUCUGGGCACGGCUUAACUGGGUUUCUGCUCAGGGUCUCACAAGGCUGCAAUCCAGGCGCCAGCUGGGCUGAAUUCUCCGUUGGAGAGCUGACUAGAGAAGAGUCCUCUUCAUGCUCGUUCAGGCUGUUGGCGGAAUUUGAUUCUUUAUGGUUGCAUGACUGAGGGCACCGGCUCUUGGAUGACUGUUUCCAGGAGGCCACCCUCAGAUCCUAGAGGCCUUCUGCCGUUUCUAGGGGCCUCCCAGUUCCAGUGGCCCCCUCACAGUAUGGCAGCUUACUUCUUCAAGCCAGGGAGGAAAAGCUCUUGUUCUAGUCUGCUAAGAUGGUGUCUUAUAUAAUGCAACAAUUAUGGGGGGACAGCCCAUCACCUUGCCAUAUAAUGUGACCCAACCAAGGAAAGGACACCCCAUUACCUUUGCUAUAUUUUAUUAGUUAGAAGCAAGUAAGAGCUUCUGCUCUCACCCAAGGAGAGGGGGAUUCUCAGGGACGGGGCUCAUGGAGGCUCAGUCCACCACAGGAGGGCUGCAGUUUUAGAUAGGGUGGCCAGAGAAGGCAUGCCUGAGGGGCGUCAUUUGGGUAAGGACCUGGGGAGGUGAGGGAGCGAGCCAUGUGACUGUCUCGGGGAACAGGGUCUCCCCAAGAAGAAAAAUCAAAUGCAGAGCCCUGAGGAACACGCCUGCCAUUUUGAACAUAGCCUGUGUGCUGAUGAGAAAGAUCAAAGAGAGGGACGAACGGAUGAUGCUGGAGAGAGAGAAGUGCUGGAGCGCGGUCUCUGAGGCAGCAAGAGGAGUCCAGCGCUGUGACCUCUGCACCUGUCAACGGCCUACAUAUUCGAUUUUGAGACUCUCCCUGUGAUGAGCUCUCUGGAAACAGGGCCCUGCUUUUUUCUCCUCUGCAUACACAUGAAUGGCCGGGUGUAGGGCCUGGUGCAACGUUUCCCCUUUGGCCACCUGCUCACUGAGGAGGUGUGUGUGAUGAGGACUCUUCAGAUCUACUCCCAGCAAAUCUCAAGUGUACAAGACAUGUUAUACACUAUGGUCCCUAUGCAGCUUUGUUUGUGAAGGUGAUCCAGUUUCGUGCUAAACGGAGUGAUGUACUGGGCCAGAAGAGGAAAGACAAUCUGGACCAGAUGGCCAAAGAUUUGAUGACCUUAUAUGACUCCCGUCCUCACGGAGUUUACAUUUUGACAGGAUCAGAGACAUUAAGUAGCUUAAUAAAUGCUCAAUAAAGAUUUGUGAAAUAAA
ensembl:lncRNA